AUUGAACGCUGGCGGCAUGCCUUACACAUGCAAGUCGAACGGCAGCACGGGAGCAAUCCUGGUGGCGAGUGGCGAACGGGUGAGUAAUGUAUCGGAACGUGCCCAGUCGUGGGGGAUAACGCAGCGAAAGCUGUGCUAAUACCGCAUACGAUCUAUGGAUGAAAGCGGGGGACCGCAAGACCUCGCGCGUUUGGAGGUGCCGAUAUCUGAGUAGCUAGUUGGUGGGGUAAAAGCUUACCAAGGCGACGAUCUGUAGCUGGUCUGAGAGACGACCAGCCACACUGGAACUGAGACACGGUCCAGACUCCUACGGGAGGCAGCAGUGGGGAAUUUUGGACAAUGGGCGCAAGCCUGAUCCAGCAAUGCCGCGUGCAGGAUGAAGGCCUUCGGGUUGUAAACUGCUUUUGUACGGAGCGAAAAGGCUCUCUCUAAUACAGGGGGCUCAUGACGGUACCGUAAGAAUAAGCACCGGCUAACUACGUGCCAGCAGCCGCAGUAA
rnacentral:rRNA from 1 species